rnacentral:lncRNA from 1 species
UUUUGUGCAUAAGAAUUGCCAUUAGAUCUCUCAGGGGUUUAAAAAAGGAAGAAGAAAAAAAAAAAAACCCAGUAAAAAUAGAGGCUUGUAUUUCCAGCAAUUUCAUGUUGCCACCUCCUUGCUUUCCUCACGCUUUCCAUCUUGUUGCCUGGCAUUGCCUCUGACAAGUCCUGCCGAGUGAUGAGCCAUCCUCUGACACUAUUAAGCUCUCACCAGGUAGUAAGUCUGAAUUCUCUGCUGGUGUAAAUGAGCAGAGCUGCUUGAGCCCAUAGAUCUUUUCAAUGACUGGAUGGAACACAGAAGGAGAACCUUUGUCAAAGAUCAAUUAUUUCUUAAUCUUAAAUGGAAAUUCUGCAGUCCAGGUGAGGGAUCUCUGAGUGUCCUCAACAAGAAGCACAGUACCCAAUGACCUGUGAUGGCCACGGCUACUGGACCCAUGAUGGAAACGUAAGUUGACAGCAGGGCUUAAAAAAAUAUUCAGCUGUUGUAUAUCUAACAUAUCUAACUUGCAAAGUAUUUCAGUAAUCAAUUUGGUGUAUUAUACUUGUGUAAACACUGACUGUACAAGAAAGUUACUAGG